CCGAAAAGCCAGAGAGCACAUUACUCUUUACACUCUGGUAAAGAGAAGCAGAGGCCUAGUCAAGAUGGCAGUGAUUCUACCUCGCCAGUGCGCCACUCGGAGGCUGGAUCCGAUAUUGACUCUGAGCCUACUUGGAGAAGAUCUCCCAGUUACUGAACGGACACUAGCAGUAACGGACACUGUUACAGCAUCUGCAGUCCUUCCUGAAAGAAGGUUUCAAAGAGAUUUUAGAGGAUCUCCGCCAGGAAAUCAAAGACUUUGGUGCAUGAC